UCUCUCUCUGAAAAAAAUGUAAUGCUCUUAACUGUUUACUCGAUAAUCAUCGACACGGGACAAAGAAUGCAAAGAAUACAAGUAUUCCAUCAAUUCGCUCCGAUCACGUGAGAAAGUAAAAAUGGAUGGGUCCACCUCAUUCGAUCAAGUCUCAAAGCGGCCAAAACUGCGACAAACACGGGGAGGAUGCUGGUCGCGGCUGGUUGUUGGCGUCGCGCGUUGCGUCUCUCAGCUCGAAUCGGACUCGAUGACGGAAGUACCGAAAACGUGCACAAGUAGAGACACCAAGUAGAGCUGGGUUGUUUCGUCCGGGUUGCGCGUUGCAAAGCGCGAAAAAUCUCGACAACGAUCCGGCGAUUCGGAUCGAGCGGACAGCCCGCCGGUCGGCGAGCGGCGACUGGUCCCUCAGCGAGAUCUUAUGUCUUAUCGCUUAUAAGAAUUUCCGUAAUUUGCCUGGUGAGGUGAGUCAAUCAGCGAUAUCGUCGUCCAUCAUCCGAGAACAGCGGAUCAUCGUCAUUACCGUCAUUGCCGUUUCCAUUGCCGGUUGUGUCGUCGUUUUCGUCGUAUCAUCUCACGCGACAUCCCAACGUAUCAAGGUAAAUGUAUCGAUCAAAUCAAAUUCGGCAGUCAUCGGACGGAGAUGAACGUAGAAACUGGAUUUUGACGCCUGAAGCGUUGCGACUCGCGAGUUUGCAGGAAAACUCUCCGCGGUCUAUAAAUAUCGGCCUGUUGAAUACCACCCGCCAUAGAGCGACGCGCGUCGAUCGCUGCGCCAGUCGCGCUAAAUAUCGCAAGUCUCGAGAGGUUCAAAUAGAUUUUCCAGGCUGGACAAGCGUACGAAUUGAGAUCCGCGAUCCGUGAAAAUGGUAACGAUGCGUGCGCGUGCACGUCGUAUAAAAAUCUUUACCGAGAAUAUAUUUCGCAAUUUUUCGUCUCGCGAUAUACGACAAAAAUGGCCAGAUGAAUAAUUUAUUUAGACUUGCCUUAAGUCGCGUGACUUGUAAUAAAGAUUCAACGAAAAAAAAGAACCAAGAUUUAGUUUAUUAUCAUGUAUGUUGCUCAUUUGAUAGUUUAAUUUAUAAGAAAAAAAAUAAAUUAUACCACACACAGUAGUUGAUUUCUCUCUUUCUCUUUUUGCCUCCCGAAACAGGAUAAAUGCUAAUUAAGUAAAAAAUGAAAAGCGUAUUUAAACAGUUUGUGCGAUUGUUAGUUUAGAUCCAGCUUAUUGUUCAACUUAAGUUCUCGACACAGUUUCAUAUACGGCAUUUAUGUAAAAAGCAAUAUGACAGAGAAUCCAUUGUCAUGUCAACCAGCGAGCGAUAUAGAAAGUGCACUUGUAUUCCUCGAUUUUUAGCUAAAAGGUUUAUAGUUCCUAGAGAGGAAAACACGAGAAAGUAUCACCAGGACUUGAUCGUCAUUCGAUCAAGAAUUUUAUUUACAGCUAAAAUAGCACGAUAUAUCUGUAAUUGUAAUGCUAGUAAAUAUAUUAUAUAUCAUGUAACAUUAUCAUCAAUUAA